rnacentral:lncRNA from 1 species
AAAAGGGAAGAAAGGAAGCUCUCCUGAUCAUGGUGGCAGUUGCCAAUUUUGGACUUUCAGGGAGAUGUCUUCCACUACAAGAUUCAGCAAAGAAGUGUUGAGGAAGAACUGCUUCAUCCUCCAAAUUUGAUCAAGCAGGGAGAUGUCCUCCACAGCUGGAUCUAAGAAGCAGUGAUUGUUGAUGAGCAGGUUCAGCUGGUGCCUAUUCAUCUUCAAACUGUUAUGUAUACUGGCACCCUUGUCUUCCACCAUGGGUGUGUGUUGAUCAAAUUCAUAUGUACCUCCUGCAACAUGGUUAGUGCAAUGUGGUCCCAAAGAAAUAACAUGCAGGGGUAUGACACCCAAUCCAAAUGUAACAGGCUGAACCUCAAAUAUAUCCUCAGAACAUGAAUCAAUUUCAAAUGUAGAAACAAUAUCAACAACAGGCUCAGAUUCAUGUUCAGUGCAUGGAGAACAAACAUUCAGAUAUGAUAGAAAAAAGUGGUUCUCAUCAUGCAAGGAGGGAGAAUUAAAAGCAUUCCCAUCAACAAUAUAAUCAUCAAUAUACCCA